rnacentral:rRNA from 1 species
UGCAGUCGAACGGUAACAGGAAUUUAGCUUGCUAAUUUGCUGACGAGUGGCGCACGGGUGCGUAACGCGUAUACAAUCUACCUUUUGCUGAGGGAUAGCCCAGAGAAAUUUGGAUUAAUACCUCAUGGUAUUAUUGAUAGGCAUCUAUUAAUAAUUAAAGGUUACGGCAAAAGAUGAGUAUGCGUCCCAUUAGCUAGUUGGUGAAGUAACGGUUCACCAAGGCAACGAUGGGUAGGGGUCCUGAGAGGGAGAUCCCCCACACUGGUACUGAGACACGGACCAGACUCCUACGGGAGGCAGCAGUGAGGAAUAUUGGACAAUGGGCGAGAGCCUGAUCCAGCCAUGCCGCGUGCAGGAAGACUGCCCUAUGGGUUGUAAACUGCUUUUAUACAGGAAGAAUAAGCCUUACGAGUAAGGUGAUGACGGUACUGUAAGAAUAAGGACCGGCUAACUCCGUGCCAGCAGCCGCGGUAAUACGGAGGGUCCGAGCGUUAUCCGGAAUUAUUGGGUUUAAAGGGUCCGUAGGCGGAUGAUUAAGUCAGGGGUGAAAGUUUGCAGCUCAACUGUAAAAUUGCCUUUGAUACUGGUCAUCUUGAG